rnacentral:rRNA from 1 species
GUCUACGGCCAUGCCACCCUGAAUGUGUCCGAUCUUGUCUGAUCUCAGAAGCUAAGCAGAGUUGGGCCUGGUUAGUACUUGGAUGGGAGACCACCUAGGAAUACUGGGUGCUGUAGGCU